GACGUAGGAUGCAAGCGUUGUCCGGAUUUAUUGGGCGUAAAGAGUUCGUAGGUGGUAACCUAAGUCUGGUGUUAAAUUUUGGGGCUCAACCCCAAGUCUGCAUUGGAAACUGGGUCACUAGAGUACGGUAGAGGCAAGGGGAAUUCCCGGUGUAGCGGUGAAAUGCGUAGAGAUCUGGAGGAACACCGAUGGCGAAGGCAGCCCCCUGGGCUAACACUGACGCUCAUGCACGAAAGCGUGGGGAGCAAACAGG
rnacentral:rRNA from 1 species